rnacentral:rRNA from 1 species
AUUGAACGCUGGCGGCAUGCUUUACACAUGCAAGUCGAACGGUAGAGGGGGCAACCCCUUGAGAGUGGCGAACGGGUGAGUAAUGCAUCGGAACGUGCCCAGUCGUGGGGGAUAACGCAGCGAAAGCUGUGCUAAUACCGCAUACGAUCUCUGGAUGAAAGCGGGGGACCGACAGGCCUCGCGCGACUGGAGCGGCCGAUGUCAGAUUAGGUAGUUGGUGGGGUAAAGGCUCACCAAGCCAACGAUCUGUAGCUGGUCUGAGAGGACGACCAGCGACACUGGGACUGAGACACGGCCAAGAAUCCUACGGGAGGCAGCAGUGGGGAAUUUUGGACAAUGGGCGCAAGCCUGAUCCAGCAAUGCCGCGUGCAGGAAGAAGGCCUUCGGGUUGUAAACUGCUUUUGUACGGAACGAAAAGGUCUGGGUUAAUACCCUGGGCACAUGACGGUACCGUAAGAAUAAGCACCGGCUAACUACGUGCCAGCCGCCGCCGUAA